rnacentral:rRNA from 1 species
AUUGAACGCUGGCGGCAGGCCUAACACAUGCAAGUCGAACGAGUGGCGGACGGGUGAGUAAUUUCUGGGAAACUGCCUGAUGUAGGGGGAUAACUACUGGAAACGGUAGCUAAUACCGCAUACCAUCGUAUGUGCCCAGAUGGGUUUAGCUAGUAGGUGGGGUAUAGGCUCACCUAGGCGACGAUCCAUAGCUGGUCUGAGAGGAUGACCGGCCACACUGGAACUGAGACACGGUCCAGACUCCUACGGGAGGCAGCAGUAGGGAAUAUUGGGCAAUGGGCGAAAGCCUGAUGGAGCCACGCCGCGUGUAUGAAGAAGGCUUUCGGGUUGUAAAGUACUGUCAGUGGGGAAGCGUUAUCUGACGAAAAAGCAACGGCUAACUCCGUGCCAGCAGCCGCGGUAAUAC